rnacentral:lncRNA from 1 species
GGAGUAGGCAAAUAGGGCUGUUGCUUCAGGAUUUCUUCGAGUUCAGAAAGUGGAGAGAAGCAAGCUAUUGAAAGAUUGAGAAGCAAGACGAGACAAUUGGAAGGAAGCGAAGCAGCUGUGAGAAAAAUGCACCCCGAAUCCAAACAUACAGUCCAUGAUCUUCAGCUUCAAGCUAAAGGAGGGAUUUGCAUGGUGGUGGGACUUUGGAAACCAUCAGCAGCUCCUUGUGGCACAGCGGAAACCGGGGGAUCUGAUCAGUGGGCAGGACGAGAGGGGUUUUGCCGACCCGGGCCGAGCAAAGACAAGCCUGCACCGAGCAGCAGGUGACUCGCAGGCGCGCUCGUCCCGCUGUCUGCGGCAGAGGGGCGGGCUGGGGCGCUGGGGUGGGGACACCAGGAGGGGUCCCCGCGCCGGAGCCAGGAUCCGCUGAUAGCCCCCGGGAGGGCAGAGGGAGGUGGAAGGGAGGGAGACAGGGAUAGCGCGGGGAGGGGCAGCCGCGGAGAGGCGCGGCGCAGGGGGCACCGGGCUCGCCGCCGGGCCUCGGAACACGAGAGAGCGGCACGGCCGGGACGGGCAGCCGGCCAUCGUCUGCCUGCAGCCGCAACCCAGCGAGCGACAGCAGCGGUAUCGACCGGACGUUUUCUCGCCACCGCUGGAGCUGCCUUUCCCCGGCGCCUGGCUGCCCGUCCGGCUGCGGCGGCCCCAUCGUGGCCGCAGUGGCUGGGGCCGGCUCAGCAUCCCCGGCGGGGAAGGGCGGCAGGCGGCGGCUCCCGCACGGGGAACCCUCUUGCAGGGGAGGGCACCGGGGGUGGACGGUAGGGCUGGAGAAGCGCAGGGGGAAUGUUCCCGCGGAGCAUCCGUGCCUCUCUCCCUACCCUGUCUAAACGAAGCGUUCCCCCCUCCCUCCUCCCCUUCCCUGCGCUUCUUGGCUCUCUGUAUGGAAAUCACGAGCUGGAUUGGUGGAGAAAAAUCUCCCUUUUCCUCGCACAGUGGCUCCAGAGUGUGUGCUGAAUUUCAAGGUUUCAUGCUAGCCCAAAUGAUGUCAUAG